rnacentral:rRNA from 1 species
AUUGAACGCUAGCGGCAGGCCUAAUACAUGCAAGUCGGACGGGAUUUGGGAGCUUGCUCCCAAUGAGAGUGGCGCACGGGUGCGUAACACGUAUGUAACCUACCUUAAUCAGGGGGAUAGCCUCUCGAAAGAGAGAUUAACACCGCAUAAUAUAUUUUUAUGGCAUCGUAGAAAUAUCAAAUAUUUAUAGGAUUAAGAUGGGCAUGCGGAACAUUAGCUAGUUGGUAAGGUAACGGCUUACCAAGGCUACGAUGUUUAGGGGAUCUGAGAGGAUGACCCCCCACACUGGUACUGAGACACGGACCAGACUCCUACGGGAGGCAGCAGUAAGGAAUAUUGGUCAAUGGGCGCAAGCCUGAACCAGCCAUGCCGCGUGCAGGAAGACGGCCCUAUGGGUUGUAAACUGCUUUUGUACCGGAAUAAACCCUUUUACGUGUAAAAGGCUGAAUGUACGGUAAGAAUAAGGAUCGGCUAACUCCGUGCCAGCCGCCGCGGUAA